UACGGAGGGUGCAAACGUUGCUCGGAAUCAUUGGGCGUAAAGCGCACGUAGGCGGCCUGUUAAGUCGGGUGUGAAAUCCCUGGGCUCAACCCAGGAAGUGCACUCGAAACUGGCAGGCUUGAGUACUGAAGAGGGUCGCGGAAUUCCCGGUGUAGAGGUGAAAUUCGUAGAUAUCGGAAGGAACACCUGUGGCGAAAGCGGCUCACUGGACCAUUACUGACGCUGAGGCACGAAAGCUAGGGGAGCAAACAGG
rnacentral:rRNA from 1 species